CACGGGGGGAGCAAGCGUUGUUCGGAAUCACUGGGCGUAAAGGGCGUGUAGGCGGUCAGAUAAGUGAGAUGUGAAAUGCCUCGGCUCACCCGAGGACCUGCAUCUCAUACUGUUUGGCUUGAGUACGGGAGAGGAUGAGGGAAUUCCUGGUGUAGCGGUGAAAUGCGUAGAUAUCAGGAGGAACACCGGUGGCGAAGGCGCUCAUCUGGCCCGAUACUGACGCUGAGGCGCGAAAGCUAGGGGAGCAAACGGG
rnacentral:rRNA from 1 species